rnacentral:rRNA from 1 species
UACGGAGGGUGCAAGCGUUAUCCGGAUUCACUGGGUUUAAAGGGUGCGUAGGUGGGCUAGUAAGUCCGUGGUGAAAUCUCUGAGCUUAACUCGGAAACUGCCGUGGAUACUAUUAGUCUUGAAUCUCGUGGAGGUAAGCGGAAUAUGUCAUGUAGCGGUGAAAUGCUUAGAUAUGACAUAGAACACCGAUAGCGAAGGCAGCUUGCUACGCGAGUAUUGACACUGAGGCACGAAAGCGUGGGGAGCAAACAGG